rnacentral:rRNA from 1 species
CAUGUCUUUUUGAUUAUAAUUUAAAGUCUGACCUGCCCAAUGAAUAUGAUUUGAAUGGCUGCGGUAUUUUGACCGUACAAAGGUAGCAUAAUAAUUAGUUUUUUAAUUGAGAACUGGAAUGAAAGGUCGAACGAGAAAAAUACUGUCUCAAUUUAAUUAAAAUUUGAAUUUUAUAUUUAAGUAAAAAAGCUUAAAUAAUCUUAAAAGACGAGAAGACCCUAUAGAGUUUUAUAUUAUUUAUUUUAUAAAAAUUAAAGUAUUUUUAUUUUAUUAUUAUAAUUAGUAUUUAAUUGGGGUGAUUAAAAAAUUGAUAGAACUUUUUUUAUAUGAAUACAUUAGUUUAUGGUUAUUUGAUCCAUUAUUUAUGAUUAUAAGUUUAAAUUACCUUAGGGAUAACAGCGUUAUUUUUUUUUAGAGUUCUUAUCGAAAAAAAAGUUUGCGACC